AUUUAUUCUUAACAAAACUGCAGCUGCUUCUAAAUAGCUUUUGUGGUCACAAAGGAGACCUGGAGUAAGUCAAUUUCUUGAGAGAGUUCUUGGGAGAGAUUCUGUUUGCUGUGACUGAUAAACAUUUUGGAAAAAGACAGUU
ensembl:snoRNA small nucleolar RNA SNORA16B/SNORA16A family